UGAAGGGAGGUAAUUUUUGGCGCGAGAUGGCAAUAGAACAAGCAAAGCAAGGUAAAAGACCACCAGUAAAACGUGCAGUGAUUCCGUGACAGAUAUUACGUUCAUCUGUGUAGUGUUUUAGGGAUUUCUAUUUGACAUUUUGUUUGUACACCAGAAAUGGUCCAUAUGGCAGUAUCUGCAAUAUUUCUCAAGACAAUUAACCUAUCUUCAUCAGAGAUGCAGGUGCUGAUAUUCUGCUGACGUCAUAAGGCUGUACCUGCAAGGCAUGUUUUUGGAAACACAACAAAUUUAAGGGAUGCAGCUUACGCCAACAAAUCUGACACUGGUUUGUGACCUUGCAUAAACACAAACAACAUUGCAAAGUACGAUGCCAGGAACACAUUUGCAAUUCAUUUCCAAGACACCAUGGAGUUAGCCAUCCUGAAAUCAAGG